rnacentral:lncRNA from 1 species
GGAAACACUGAUCAGGUCCAUGAAAUUUUACAAAAACAUCCCGGAGGUUUCGACUUCGUUCUUGGAGCGGAUAUCUAUAUCCUUAUUAUGUAUUUAAUCCCAUUGCUAUCAUACUUUAGAACUAAGCAUAAAUGCCUAAAAAUAUGAUGGCUUGCAAUAUAGGUAAAUGCAUAGAUACCGAUAAGGCAAGUUCUUUUAUAUUUCUCACCCAAGCCAGUAGGCCAACCCAACCAUCUUUGUAGUUUCUUUUAAAAAAUCUGGUAUGUUGUUUUCUUCUUAUAGUCAUUUUGGGAAUAGAUCUUUAAAGGUUGUCCCAGCAUCCGUUUCAAGCUGUGUCAUUUAUCUACCUAUUUUAAAGCCUUUGCUAGCUGUCGUAGCUUUAUGAAUUCCAGUUAUUUGCUGAAACAAACUAGAGGAUCAAAUGAGACUGAAAAUUUCUGUGAAACUUGAAAUUCAUAUUUGUGCUUUUCAUCUAUAGGUUUAUGUCAUUGUCAUAAAGAAAUUUAUAGAUUUGUUUUGUCUAAUAAUAUUUCAUCUUCACCAAAUAAAAAUUAAUUUCAAUAACCUUGACAAUCGCAAGCUUUCAGCAGUCAAGCAUCCCUUUGCUGUUUUAUAGUGUUAGACAGCUCCUGCAAGUUAAAGAAGGCGGAAAAUGCAAGUUCAUACUAGCCUAUGUGUCACGAGCAAAGAUGUAUGUAAAUCUAGCUCAUUAUUCUUCAAAUUUUUCUUUAUUUUUUUGGGUUUAGUGAUAAUUCUUUUCUUUGUUUUGACUUUUGACCAACAACAUUGUCAUCUCAUAGUUGAUUAGAUUCAGUUUUAC